rnacentral:misc_RNA from 1 species
AAGUCGUAACAAGGUUUCCGUAGGUGAACCUGCGGAAGGAUCAAUAGUGAGGAGGAGGGGUGGUAGGGGGUGUUUUGGAGGGACCUCUGGUUUCCUUUAAACACAUUCCUCUCCCCAUUAACAUUUACGCAUGAUUAGUAUGACAGAGUAAAAGACACAGUAUAUACAACUUUUAACAAGGGAUCUCUUGGCUCUU